rnacentral:rRNA from 1 species
CCUACGGGUGGCAGCAGUGGGGAAUAUUGGACAAUGGGCGCAAGCCUGAUCCAGCAAUACCGCGUGUGUGAAGAAGGCCUUAGGGUUGUAAAGCACUUUCAAUGGGGAGGAAAACCUACCGGUCAAUACCCGGUAGCUUGACAUUACCUGUAGAAGAAGCACCGGCUAACUCCGUGCCAGCAGCCGCGGUAAUACGGAGGGUGCAUGCGGUAAUCGGAAUGUGUGGGCGUGGAGCGUGCAGUGGCAGUUGAAAGCCCCGGGCUUAACCUGGGAACUGCAUUUGAAACUGGCGGACUAGAGUUGAGUAGAGGGGAGUGGAAUUUCAGGUGUAGCGGUGAAAUGCGUAGAUAUCUGAAGGAACACCAGUGGCGAAGGCGACUCCCUGGACUCAAACUGACGCUGAGGUACGAAAGCGUGGGUAGCAAACAGGAUUAGAUACCCGUGUAGUC